rnacentral:rRNA from 1 species
CCCACAAUGGGACUGAGACACGGCCCAUACUCCUACGGGAGGCAGCAGCAGGGAAUAUUGCACAAUGGACGGAAGUCUAGAUGCAGCGACGCCGCGUGAGUGAAGAAGGCCUUCGGGUUGUAAAACUCUUUUGAGGGGGAAGAGCGAGGACGGUACCCCUGGAAUAAGCGUCGGCUAACUACGUGCCAGCAGCCGCGGUAAGACGUAGGACGCGAGCGUUAUCCGGAUUUACUGGGCGUAAAGCGUCUGUAUGCGGAUGUGUAAGUUGGGCGUGAAAGCUCCGGGCUUAACCCGGAGAGUCCGUUCAAUACUGCAUAACUUGAGGGUGUCAGAGGGGAGCGGAAUUCCCGGUGUACCGGUAAAAUGCGCAGAGAUCGGGAGGAACACCAGUGCCGGAGGCGGUUCCCUGGGGCACACCUGACGCUGAGAGACGAAAGCUAGGGGAGCGAACAAGAUUAGAGACCCUGGUAGUCCUAGCCCUAAACGAUGAAUGCUAGGUGUGGGAUCGAAUGGUUCCGUGCCGGAGCGAACGCGAUAAGCAUUCCGCCUGGGGAGUACGGCCGCAAGGUUAAAACUCAAACGAAUUGACGGGGCCCCGCACAAGCAGCGGAGCGUGUGGUUUAAUUCGAUGAUACACGAAGAACCUUACCUGGGUUUGACAUCUAGGUGAUAGUGAAUCGAAAGGUGAACGACCAUUCGGGGAGCCUACACAGGUGCUGCAUGGCUGUCGUCAGCUCGUGCCGUGAGGUGUCGGGUUAAGUCCAGUAACGAGCGCAACCCUUGCUCCUAGUUACAAGUGUCUAGGGGGACUGCCGCCGGAAAGCCGGAGGAAGGUGGGGAUGACGUCAAGUCAGCAUGGCCCCUUAUAUCCAGGGCUACACACACGCUACAGUGGUCGGUACACAGGGCAGCGCAACCGCGAGGCGGAGCGAAUCCCACGAAAAGCCGAUCGUAGUUCGGAUAGCAGGCUGCAACCCGCCUGCUUGAAGCUGGAGUUGCUAGUAACCGCGCGUCAGCCAUAGCGCGGUGAUACGUUCCCGGGGCUUGUACACACCGCCCGUC